GUCCACGCCCUAAACGAUGGGUACUAAGUGUCGGCGGGUUACCGCCGGUGCCGCACCUAACGGAGUAAGUACCCCGCCUGGGGAGUACGGCCGCAAGGUUGAAACUCAAAGGAAUUGACGGGGGCCCGCACAAGCGGUGGUGCAUGUGGUUCAAUUCGACGCAACGCGAAAAACCUUACCCAGGCUUGACAUGCUCGUGGUAAGAACCGGAAACGGGGAUGACCCUGAAAGGGGAGCGAGCACAGGUGCUGCAUGGCUGUCGU
rnacentral:rRNA from 1 species